AGUCGAGCGGAUUUAUACCUUCGGGUGUAAGUUAGCGGCGGACGGGUGAGGAACACGUGGAUAACCUGCCUUAUACUUAGGAAUAACGUUCAGAAAUGGACGCUAAUGCCUGAUAAGCUCACGCUGCAGCAUUGCGAAGUGAGAAAAGAUUUAUCGGUAUAAGAGGGGUCCGCGGCUGAUUAGCUAGUUGGCGGGGUAACGGCCCACCAAGGCAACGAUCAGUAGCCGGGAUGAGAGUCUGGACGGCCACAUUGGGACUGAGACACGGCCCAAACUCCUACGGGAGGCAGCAGUGGGGAAUAUUGCGCAAUGGGCGAAAGCCUGACGCAGCAACGCCGCGUGAAGGAUGACGGUCUUCGGAUUGUAAACUUCUAUCGACAGGGAAGAAAAAAAUGACGGUACCUGAAUAAGAAGCACCGGCUAACUACGUGCCAGCAGCCGCGGUAAUACGUAGGGUGCAAGCGUUAUCCGGAAUUACUGGGUGUAAAGGGUGAGUAGGCGGUUAGAUAAGUCAUGUGUGAAAAUCCAGUGCUCAACAUUGGACCUGCACAAGAAACUGUUUAACUUGAGUACAGGAGAGGUAAGCGGAAUUCCUAGUGUAGCGGUGAAAUGCGUAGAUAUUAGGAAGAACACCAGUGGCGAAG
rnacentral:rRNA from 1 species